UACGGGGGGAGCAAGCGUUGUUCGGAUUUACUGGGCGUAAAGGGCGCGUAGGCGGCCAGCACAAGUCAGUUGUGAAAUCUCCGGGCUUAACCCGGAAAGGUCAACUGAUACUGUGCGGCUAGAGUGCAGAAGGGGCAACUGGAAUUCUCGGUGUAGCGGUGAAAUGCGUAGAUAUCGAGAGGAACACCUGCGGCGAAGGCGG
rnacentral:rRNA from 1 species